AACUCCCAAACCCAAUGUGAACGUUACCAAACUGUUGCCCUCGGCGGGAUCUCUGCCCCGGGUGCGUCGCAGCCCCGGACCAAGGCGCCCGCCGGAGGACCAACCUAAAACUCUUUUUGUAUACCCCCUCGCGGGUUUUUUAUAAUCUGAGCCUUCUCGGCGCCUCUCGUAGGCGUUUCGAAAAUGAAUCAAAACUUUCAACAACGGAUCUCUUGGUUCUGGCAUCGAUGAAGAACGCAGCGAAAUGCGAUAAGUAAUGUGAAUUGCAGAAUUCAGUGAAUCAUCGAAUCUUUGAACGCACAUUGCGCCCGCCAGUAUUCUGGCGGGCAUGCCUGUCCGAGCGUCAUUUCAACCCUCGAACCCCUCCGGGGGGUCGGCGUUGGGGAUCGGCCCUCCCUUAGCGGGUGGCCGUCUCCGAAAUACAGUGGCGGUCUCGCCGCAGCCUCUCCUGCGCAGUAGUUUGCACACUCGCAUCGGGAGCGCGGCGCGUCCACAGCCGUUAAACACCCAACUUCUGAAAUGUGACCUCGGAUCAGGUAGGAAUACCCGCUGAACUUAGCAUAUCAU
rnacentral:rRNA from 1 species